AUACGGAAGGUCCGGGCGUUAUCCGGAUUUAUUGGGUUUAAAGGGAGCGCAGGCGGAGAUGCAAGCGUGACGUCAAAUUUCGGGGCUCAACCCCGUCUCGCGUCGCGAACUGCGUCCCUUGGUUGCGGGAAGGGGAGGCGGAACUCGUGGUGUAGCGGUGAAAUGCAUAGAUAUCGCGAAGAACUCCGAUCGCGAAGGCAGCCUUCCGGCCCGUCAACGACGCUCAUGCUCGAAGGUGCGGGUAUCAAACAGGAUUAGAUACCCUGGUAGUCCGCACAGUAAACGAUGGACACCCGCGGUUUGGCCUAUAUGGCUGAGCCGCCAAGCGAAAGCGUUAAGUGUCCCACCUGGGGAGUACGCCGGCAACGGUGAAACUCAAAUGAAUUGACGGGG
rnacentral:rRNA from 1 species